UGUCUUUUUGAAAAUAAUAUAAGGUUUGAUCUGCCCACUGAUUUUAAAUUGAAGGGCUGCAGUAUAUUGACUGUACAAAGGUAGCAUAAUCAUUAGUCAUUUAAUUGGUGACUUGUAUGAAGGAUUGGAUGAGAUAUAAUCUGUCUCUUAUUUAAUAGUAAAAUUUAAUUUUUAAGUUAAAAAGUUUAAAUAGUUUAAAAAGACGAGAAGACCCUAUAGAGUUUUAUAAAUAAAUUAAUUAAGGUUAUUAGGAUAGUUUAAAAUUAAAAUUAAUUUAUUUAUUUUGUUGGGGUGAUAGAAAAAUAUAUUUAACUUUUUUUUUAGUUAAACAUUUAUAAGUGGUUAAAUGAUCCAUUAUUAUUGAUUAUAAGAAAAAAUUACCUUAGGGAUAACAGCGUAAUUUUUUUUUUUAGUUCAUAUAAUAAAAAGAGUUUGCGACCUCGAUGUUGGAUUAAGAUAAAAUUUAAAUGCAGAAG
rnacentral:rRNA from 1 species